ACCCUACUCCGAACUUCUUCCGGAUUUUGUCAAUAUCCGAGCUCCUCCAACAAUGAGAUUUCUACAGCAACCAAACCCCAUCCAAGUCUCUACGGUGGUCGAUCACCUUCCGAAUUCCAAUCGAGCACCUGCGAGAGCCGAACUCCCACUGCAGGCGAUCUACUCUAGAUAUCUACUAUAAGCAAAUUCCAUUCGAGCCUCUACUGUAAAUGAAUUUCUUUCGAACUUCUACUACAGGUAGAUUUCAAUCGAGCUUCUCCAUAGCAG
rnacentral:lncRNA from 1 species